ensembl:lncRNA
GUCUGCAGGAGCUAGAGCGCUCGCCCGUUACAUCUGAAACGGAUUUCAGAAAUUACUGUAUGAAUAAACACCUACACAGACAUCGUGCAUCAUGGCCGACGCUUCCUUAAGGAACUUUAAUAGCUCAGAUGUUUCCAUGACCUUCUACAUGAAUAUUCCCAAAGUACACCAUUAAACAAAAUAAAACACAUUAAAACACUACAAAGUAUAAAUAGUACAUGUAGUAAACAAUUCUAAAUGUUAAUAAAAUAAAUUACGAGACCUUUACCAAGCCAUAUCAUAUCAAAUCUGUAUACCCGGUGUAACCUUCAACAGAGUGCUUCCCUGUCAGAACCCUUAAAGAACCCUUGAUUAUCCAAUGAACCCUUAAAAAACACUUAAAAAACCCUUUUUAAUUCAAUGGAUAAUUUUUAGUUCACUGGAUAAUUAAGGGUUCUUUAAGGGUUUGGUGAAUAAUUAAGGGUUCACUGGAUAAUUAAGGGUUCUUAAGGGUUCACUGGAUAAUUAAGGGUUCUUUAAGGGUUCACUGGAUAAUUAAGGGCUCUUUAAGGGUUCACUGGAUAAUUAAGGGCUCUUUAAGGGUU